UACGAAGGGGGCUAGCGUUGCUCGGAAUUACUGGGCGUAAAGCGCACGUAGGCGGUCUUUUAAGUCGGGGGUGAAAUCCUGGAGCUCAACUCCAGAACUGCCUUCGAUACUGGAAGACUCGAGUCCGGGAGAGGUGAGUGGAACUGCGAGUGUAGAGGUGAAAUUCGUAGAUAUUCGCAAGAACACCAGUGGCGAAGGCGGCCAACUGGUCCAUUACUGACGCUGAGGUGCGAAAGCGUGGGGAGCAAACAGG
rnacentral:rRNA from 1 species